rnacentral:rRNA from 1 species
AGAGUUUGAUCCUGGCUCAGGAUGAACGCUGGCGGUCUGCUUAACACAUGCAAGUCGAACGCAACCUUCGGGUUGAGUGGCGGACGGGUGAGUAACGCGUGAGAAUCUGCCUUAGGGUCGGGGACAACCACUGGAAACGGUGGCUAAUACCGGAUAAGCCGAUUGGUGAAAGAUUUAUUGCCCGAAGAGGAGCUCGCAUCUGAUUAGCUAGUUGGUGAGGUAAGAGCUCACCAAGGCAGCGAUCAGUAGCUGGUCUGAGAGGACGAUCAGCCACACUGGGACUGAGACACGGCCCAGACUCCUACGGGAGGCAGCAGUGGGGAAUUUUCCGCAAUGGGCGAAAGCCUGACGGAGCAAGACCGCGUGAGGGAGGAAGGCUCUUGGGUUGUAAACCUCUUUUCUCAGGGAAGAAGCUCUGACGGUACCUGAGGAAUCAGCCUCGGCUAACUCCGUGCCAGCAGCCGCGGUAAUACGGAGGAGGCAAGCGUUAUCCGGAAUUAUUGGGCGUAAAGCGUCCGCAGGUGGCGAUUCAAGUCUGCUGUCAAAGCACGGGGCUUAACUCCGUUAAGGCAGUGGAAACUGAAUAGCUAGAGUGCCGUAGGGGUAGAGGGAAUUCCCGGUGUAGCGGUGAAAUGCGUAGAGAUCGGGAAGAACAUCGGUGGCGAAAGCGCUCUACUGGACGGCAACUGACACUC